rnacentral:rRNA from 1 species
UACAUGGGGUGCAAACGUUGCUCGGAAUCAUUGGGCGUAAAGCGCACGUAGGUGGUUCUGUUAUGUCCAGAUGUGAAAGCCCUCGGCUUAACUGAGGAAGUGCACCGUGAAACUGGCAGGCUUGAGUACGAAAGAGGGUCGCGGAAUUCCCGGUGUAGAGGUGAAAUCGUAGAUAUCGGGAGGAACACCGGUGGCGAAGGCGGCGACCUGGUUCGAUACUGACA